rnacentral:lncRNA from 1 species
AUGAGCCACUGUACUGCGCUGUGCCUACUUCAAAGGACUGAAAAUAAAAAAUAAAUAAAUCUUUGCCAAAUUAAAAAACAAAGCAAUAGUUUCCAGGUCUUAGAUAAAGACAAUUCUCUGUCAUGAAGAAUGACAGAAGGCUUAUUUAGCUGUUAAAAUGAUUUGCUUAUAUUUCAAAGAAGCAGAGAAAAAAAGGUACAUGUAAAAGUGUUCCAGGCCACUCAUGGUGGUUCAUGCCUGUAAUCUGAACAUUUGGGGAGGCCAAGGCAUGAGGAUACCUUCAAGCCAAAUGUUUGAGUCCAGUACAGGCAAUAUGGUGAAAUUCUGUCACUACAAAAAAAUAAAAUAAAUAUGGCUGGGCAUGUUGGCUCACACCUGUAAUCCCAGCACUUUGGGAGUCUGAGGCAGGUGGAUAAUGAGGUCAGGGGGUGGAGACCAGCCUGGCCAAAAUGGUAAAACCCAUUCUCUACUAAAAAUAAUAAUAACAAAAAAUUAGCCAGACAUGGUGGUGUGCGCCUGUAAUCCCAGCUACUCAAAAGGCUGAGACAGGAGAAUUGCUUGAACCUGGGAGGUGGAGGUUGCAUUGAGACAAGAUCAUGGCACUACACUCCAGCCUAGCCCACAGAGCAAGACACUGUCUUGAAAAAAAAUAAAAACAAAAAUAAAUAAAGCUAGCCAGGCAUGGUGGUUCAUGCCUAUAGUCCUAGGUAAUUAAGCGGUUGAUGCAGGAGGACUGCUCAAACCCAAGAGGUUAAGGUUACCGUGAGCUAUGAUUAUGCCGUUGCACUUCAGGCUAAGUAAAAGAGUAAGAUUCUGCCUCAAAAAAUUACUAAUUAAAGUUUUCCAGAUUACAUUGUUUAAGAAAAAGGAAAAGAAAAAAAUCUUUUUUUUAUUUUCAAAUGGGAGAAUAGAGCCUCUCAUUUCUAAUUUGUAUUGCCUUCUGCAAAAACUUAGUCUAGGCCCAUGGUCUUGAACUACUGGACAUCUGAAUUUUGGUAGGUGCUGGAUUCAGGCAACUGAGGGGUGGCCUUGGGCACACUGUGUGCACAUAAAAGAAAGGGUUUGAGGUGAACUAAAAGGUAAAAGAGGGGAAGGUGCUAUUAAGAAACCAGAAGUGAGAGACUGUACAGGGUUGGUGGGAGGACUGGUUCAUGCUACAGACACUGACCCAGGUGAAACUUUUCUCUGAGUUAUUUCUAUGUUCAUGCAGGAAGACGAGAUUAUGAUCAGGUGGCACAGAAAUCUGCGAUGGUGAAAAAACCAGGUUGCCACUGCAGAUUCGGUGUCUGAAGUAGAACAUAUGCCAGGGGUCUUGUAGGCACGUGUGUGGGUUUUUGGUGGGAAAGUCUAUGAGGAAAGGUAGGAUGGGCAACAAUCUUGAUGCCAAAGCCUUGUCCUGAGAGGGGCUUGACCACGUCAACAUGCAGUGUGUAUGUUCAGUGGGUGAAAAACAUGUGGUGGCUUCAAGUUGGCAGGAGGGUAGAAGGCAUCUGUUCUCAGAACUUCUUCCCUCAGAGUCGUCGGUCCUUCUUACCAUGGGAGGAUGCCUGGAACCACAGGGCAGUGCAUGGCGUAGCAGCCUGUGUGCAGAGCAGAGCCUACCUUCCCCGAGACACCUGGAGUCUCUCUCCAGCAAAGGCCCCCACAUUGUCUUUCUCCUUACAACACUUUUGAUCCUAAAUGUGUAAAGUUCCCUGAAAACCCACUGCUUCUUCAACACCCAUUUCUUGCCCCAAAAUUUAAUUCUGACACAACUUAGAGUUCGCACAGAUCCCACAAAUUCAGGGCUAAGUCCCACAUCACCCCUCUCACUGCAGAGGUUAGUCACAUGUCCCAUAAGCCCAUCUAUACUUCUGAGCUACUGCCUAUAAAUCUGAGACUCCCAUAAACCCCUUUUCAAGUUAAAUAAUUUGAUAGAGUUACUCAAAAAAACUCAACAAAUAAGUCUAAUUAUAUUUACCACUUUAUUAUAAAAAUACAACUCAGAAACUGACAAAUGAAAGAGAUGUCUAGGAAAAGGAACAGUUGUGGGUGAAGGUAAUCCUGGAAAUAGCUAUAUUUAAAGAAAUUCCCCCAUUCUUUGUGUUCUCAAAGAACAGCUUAGUGAAGAGAAACGUGCUUCCCAUUAUGACUUUGUGGAUGUUCCCCCCCCCCCUUUUUUUUAACCUAUCACAAAGACGGACACAGAUUACAAAUUCCUAUUUUUAAAAAUGAACAACCAUUCUGUAAUUUAGUCUUCAGUGGUCAAAACAGAGUACUUGUUAACAAAACUUUGCUUGUUCCCCUUCUUCCCUCAGCCCCUGAACUUUGACUCACCCACAGCCUCAGAGAACCUACAACCCAUAUUUAUACAUAUCCCUCCUAAGAACAGGCUGACUUCAAGAUGAAACAUUAUCUUAUCUGGGAUCUGAUUUUGCUACCCUCCAUCCUGUGCUUCCUUUCCAACCUUCUUUGUAAACUUAUUUUCUCCUCCCUAUGAAAUAAAACCCUUUUCCACCUAACCUUUGAGAUCCUCAAAGAUCUAAUCAUUUGUACUUUUUCCUUGUUACAACACUUCUUAAGUAACUUCUUAGACAAAGUCUAUAAACAGUCUCAGGACAAUAACAACUCCAUUCUAGAAAGAAUAUCCCAACUUUUCUUCAAUCUCAACCCCAACUGCAUCUGCCUGUCAACUUCCAGCUUACCAAAGCUCUGUAUCUUCUGACAGUGACAAAGGCUCCUUCUAUGGUUGGUGUGAGCAGACUUUGAUGUCUGCAGGGCAGACACCCAGGAAUAAUCAACUGGGCCUUCAGUGGCCCCCUUUUGCAGGGUCAACGUUAGCCUUAGCUUUUAGUCAACGGUCUAAGACUUCUACUUACCAGUUAAAGUCAUUCAAUUAGUUUUCAAUUUAAAAAAUACUUCAUGUUUGAAGAAUCCAGCAAAAAUCAUUCAAAUCUAAGGUUUAAAAGAGAGGAAAUUAUGGUCGGGCAUGGUGGCUCAUGCCUGUAAUCCCUGCAUUUUGGGAGGCUGAGGCGGGCAGAUUACCUGAGGUCAGGAGUUCGAGACCAGCCUCACUAACAUGAAGAAACACAGUCUCUACUAAAAAUACAAACUUAAACGGGGGUGGUCGUGUAUUCCUGUAAUCCCAGUUACUUGGGAGGCCGAGGCAGGAGAAUUGCUUGAACCCGGGAGGUGGAGGUUACAGUGAGCCAAUAUCGUGCCAUUGCACUCCAGACUGGGCAACAAGAGUGACACUAAGUCUAAAAAAUAAAAUUAAAAUUAAAAAAGAAAGUUAUAAGGGGCUUACAUUUUAUAACUCAACAAGAAAAGCCAAAGUAUCUAUCCCUUUCAGAAAAUAAACAUGUAAUUUAAUUAUGUUCAUAACAAAUCAUUUAGUAAACAAUCAUAUGUGAACACUUCCAGGCGGUGCCAAGUCCCAGCUCCUAAAACUUAGCGUUACCCUCAAACACCCAGAUGACAGCAUAUGGAACAGAGAUACUCACUAUCAGAAGUUCUCUGUUUUGAAAAAAGAAUAACUGAUGUGAUAAAUUUAUGUAAUUUAACAAUUAAUCUACCUCACGUGCUUGUAGGUAUGUAUUCAUUUCGUACCACCGUAGUGGAAGAGAGACUAUCCCUAUCAAUACACCUGGUAACAUUCCCAACAGUAAGUCGUGAGAUUCUGCUUGAAAUCACCUCUCAGACAAAUAAAAAACAGUCCUGGGAAAUGUACGACACUCAUUCUGCUAAAGAAAUAGGGCAAGAAAGCUUUCUAAGACCCCGAACUCCAGAUAUGCGAUGGGGCAAAUCCUGAAGCGUACAUGGCUAUCUCUCACAGCUAAAGCAUCCCUCACCCCUAUCCAGCGCUUCUUACCCCUGGCGCAAGAGAAUCACCUGCGGGGAGGAAAACUUUCAAAAUCCCUUAAACCCAAGUUGUAACCGCACAACUAAAUCAGAAUCCUUGGAGCUGGAUCUGAAAAAAAUAUGGUUGAAAGUCGUGCAGGUGAUUACAAUGUGUAGGCAAGCCAGAAAACCAUGGCUUUAACGAGCAGCUUUUGUUAGAAAUGAUUUCUCCAAUGAAUGUGAAAACGUUUGCUGCUGAAUUGUGACCUUUCCAUUUUACCUGCUUUUCCUGCAAAGUAUAUUUUGCAGACCCAGGCUGGCUUCUCCUUCUGUUCCUGGUUCACCCAGUGCCGUGUGUGCUCAGUGCAUCCUGUGCACGGGUCACUGUGUGCCCUGGCCUGGGUGAGCAUCAUUCUUCGGGGAGAACCUUGAUGAAAACAAAGCUGCAUUCCAAAAAGUUAAAACCAUGCUACUUACUGUGUUGAAGUAAAAAUUAAAAGACCCAGGGGGGCUCACCCAAAAGUUAAAACAUAAAUAAAUAACUUGGAACAUUAACAUACACCUGAUGAUGUCCUGAGUGAACACGCCCCACUUGAAAACAAAACAAAACAUUGCUAUUAUUCUAAAAUAUUAAUUUAGGAUUGUUAUGCAAACAUGCACUCUUUACAUUUUUAUUGAUAAAUAACAUGCAUACAGCAAUAUAGGCACAAAGCAUUUAGGGAAUGUUUGAUGAAUUAUUACUAAAUAAAUACACUUGUGUAUCUAAGAAUCAGAUUUGUUCAUGCCCCUGACACUUUCCCCUUCCCAAAGGUAACCAAGACCUUAAGAGCUAAGUGUAGAUAAACUUUGUCAUUUUGUACAAGUGUUUUAUUACAGAUCACUAAAAACAUACACAAUACAAAAAAAGUAUAACAGACCAGUCACCCAGCUUUAACAGCUGCUAGUCAUGUGUCAUUUUUGUUUUAUCUAUACUUCCAGCCAUGCCCCCACCCCCAAUUUCAUUAUUUUUUAGGCUUUUUGGAUAAAAUGUAUAUUCAUUGCAAGGUACAAUGCGAACUGUAAAUAGUAGAGAGAUGGGGUUUUACCAUGUUGGUCAGGCUGUUCUUGAACUCCUGACCUCAGGUGAUCCACUCUCUUCCACCUCGCAAAGUGCUGGGAUUACAGGCGUGAGCCAAUAUACUCGGCCUGAGAAUUCAUAUUUCUAAUAAAGUACAAAUCCAUAGGGCACAUGACAACUGCAAUGUCUAUCUACAGUAAAAACAGUUUGAUGAAUAAAAUGAAAGGCAAUUGACUUAAGGUGGGAAAAAAACAAUCAAAGCAUGGGUACUAUGUGCCAUCUGUAGGAGCAUUUGGUUAAGAAUAACAAACAAACCAGUUUUAUUGUUUUAAUAACCGAAAUUGGCAAAAUUUCUAGUUUUUCUUUCAUAGGAAUGCUCUUAGCAAGAAAAAAUUUUCAUAUGGUGAGAGCAAAAAUGACAACCAUUUGCAAGUAAAUGUCUUAUGAAAUUAAGUAGCAGAUAUCAAGCUCAUGACCUUCAGAUUGUUACCCCUAACUCAAUCAUUUACAUAGCAAGUGCAGAUAAUUUUCAUAGUUCCCCAUUAAAAUUAUACUUUACUCCCCUUACAAAUUGUGACUGUUUUUAAAUAAAGUUCACUAACUAAAAUUUUGUAUAUGACAUAUGAUAAAUUUCCCUUCAAGUCACCUUAUAUUUACUUAAUUGUGUUAGCCAGUGUCUGUCUACCUCCCAACAAUACUUUGGGAUUCUCCCUCCAUUUGCACAGGCAUCAUAGCUGGGGAACAGGGAUUCAAAAGACCCAGGCUGUUCCCUACAUAUGUUUCCUCCUCAGACAUCAGUUAAUCAGUCAAUCAAGUCAAGUGAGAGUGGAGGCCAUGUAUUCCCUCUUAUUCUUGGGCACUCUCCUCCAAGGAGGAAAAGGCCAGGAGGUCCUGUUAGAGGAUGCACUCUGAGAGCCCGGGCUCCCUAAGGUAUGAGAGUUCUAACCAGCAGGUGUAGACUUUUCAGGAGUGAGGAAUGAGGCAGGCAUUCCAAACCUGGAGCUUCAUCACCUUUUGUUUCAUCUCAAGACAAUUCUGAGGGGCUGUUUUGGAGCGUGUCUGGAAGGUGAACGUUGAAGAAGAGUGUGGGCUUUGAUGUGACUCAGAUGAGAUC